CGCUGCCAGACUGGUUGAUGAGGGCGGGGCGUAACUCGCUUUCAGUGUAUGUGCUGCAAGGUAUUCUCGCCGGUGCCGUGUUCGGCGGCUACGG
rnacentral:tRNA from 1 species